rnacentral:sRNA from 1 species
AUACCCUUUUGUUCCACG